UACGUAGGGUGCAAGCGUUGUCCGGAAUUAUUGGGCGUAAAGAGCUCGUAGGCGGUUUGUCGCGUCUGCUGUGAAAACUCAGGGCUUAACUCUGAGCUUGCAGUGGGUACGGGCAGACUAGAGUGCGGUAGGGGAGACUGGAAUUCCUGGUGUAGCGGUGAAAUGCGCAGAUAUCUGGGGGAAGGCCGGCGGCGAAGGCGCUUUUCUGGGAAAUUCCUGACACUGAGGCGCGAAAGCGUGGGGAGCAAACAGG
rnacentral:rRNA from 1 species